AUGAUCUAUCAGUGCAAAGAAUGUUCUUUCAAUAACUCUGUUGGAGAAGAUGACUUUUUGUUCGAGAUAAAAUGUGGAAACUGCGACUUUCUAAGCUGUGGAAAGUGCAGUGCUGCAGACCUUCUCAUUACCCGGCAUUGUGUCAUGAGUAUGAGAAAUGGUCUUCUUCCCGACCUUUCCUUCAAACCGCUUCUUUACAGCAGCGUCUUGGUUGAUAUAAAGUUCACGGGGGUUAUAUGGAUUUGACACAGUUUUGGUUGGACUUCCUCCAAACUGAGCAUGAAGAAUAUUCCCCAGAGUCAAAUCAGCGUUUCAACAACCACCUCGUUUAUUUUUUUUGAACAGAUGGGGGAAGUUGUUGAAUUCAACCGUUGGUAUCGUCUCCAUGCUGUCUUCAACCCCAUAGUAGAGUCUGUUCUUGCACAAGAGCAUAUCCUUCUCGAGGCGUACACGGAGGCUUUCAUAACCAAUAUCCCUGAUCCCUGGCUGGCGGCAAAUGAGUGGGAUCAAAGUGUAUAUCGAGCCUACCAGAUUAGUAUCGGUCUUAGUGUGUUGGUUGCCAACCUGAUCACUGGAAUUCCAAGGGCACGUCAAGUCGAAGAGGUGCAAGAUGCAAACAAGGCCCUACUUCAUUGGCGUUCUAAGAUGAUGGUAUCGUGAAAUCUUCUGGUUCAAAAGGUUGAUUCUAAUGUCUUCUUUUACAGAGAGAGUCUCUCACUCGGGUUGGUUUUGAAACUACAAUGUUACUUAAACUUGUCAUUAUGAAACUUGGUUUUGCUAUCAACAUAUGUGGCUCUCUAAGUACUAUUUUACAUGA